GACGGGGUGGCCGAGUGGUUAAGGCGAUGGACUGCUAAUCCAUUGGGGUUUCCCCGCGUGGGAUCGAAUCCCAUCCCCGUCG
rnacentral:tRNA from 1 species